UUUUUUUUUUUUUUUUAACUGCACUGCACAGUUUGAAAACUGCACAGUUUGCAAUUUGCAACUGCACAAUCACAAUGACACUGCAUUUAUGCAGAUUUUGCACAAAUUCACCAUUAUUCACAUCUAAUCUAAAUACAAAGUCUAAUAUCCAAGUUCAUAAAUUAAAUUUUAACAAUACAUCCAAAAUAACAAUAUUACAUCGUCCUCCAACAUCUAAAAAUGAAAUCCACAUACACAAUAUCCGAAAGUCCAAGACAUCCAAAUUCCAAAAAUCAAAUAAUCCAAAACAACAUAAACAUGACAUCCGCAAUAAAUUUCAAAUUAAAACCACAUCAUCCAACGCCCAAAUUCCAACAACAAUCCUCAAUUCCUCAUUGAAUCUGUAAGCAAAAAUAGAAUAUAAACAUCAUAUUAUCCUCAUUGAAAUUUAAAGUUUAUAUAAAACCAAACUGCACAUUAUCCUCAUUGAAUCUGUAAAUAUUAUCCUCAUAUUAUCCUCAUUUAAAGUUUAUAUAAAACCAAACUGCACAAUCAUAUUAUCCUCAUAUUAUCCUCAUUGAAUCUGUAAAUAUAUAAAACCAAACUGCACAUGUAUAAAUCAAAACUGCACAUGUAUAAAUCAAAACUGCACAUAUAUAAAAACUGCAUAUAAGUAUAACAAGGAACUUGAGGACAUGAAUUUGAAAUUACCUUCUCGUUUAAGGAAUUGAGAAAUCAACCAACUAAUCCCAGAAUAGUUAGCUCAGUCUUGGCCCUUCAAAACUGUGAAUUUGGAUUUUGUCCAAUCCGUUAAUAUGCACUCAUACAUUAAUUAAAAAGAAGGAAAUAAAGACAAUUGGCAAACCUUUUCUGUAAGAACAUGGUCAGUUUCUGCCAUUUUGCUGGACCAUGACUUGCUGCUUCAUAGUCAGAUAGAAGACCAUCAAGAACCUAGAAAAAGAGAAUUCAAAUAUUAAAAAAACAUUAAUGAAAAUGUUAAAGACCACAGAAGCAACCCACUAUUGUUUACCUUCCCAACAUUAUCAAUAUUAGCAUCACUAGCAUGGCAUGCUGUUCUCAGCUUCCUUUCCAUGAUUUGUAUGGCAUUUGAACAGUGCAACUCUGCCUCCAUAUAUGCAUUCUUUUUACAAUCCUGUGUCAGUAGCCAAUUUAAACAAAGUAAGACCAAGUAUACAAGGGAUGAGUUAACAAGAACGGAUAAAUGCAUGAUGAGUGAGCUAUUGUCACUAAACUAUUUAUUGUACACACACAGAACAUACACACACACAAAACAUACACACAUACACACACAGAACAUACACACAUACACACACACA
rnacentral:lncRNA from 1 species